rnacentral:sRNA from 1 species
ACCUCUCAAGCAGCCAGCGCCUGCCUGAGUCUGUUCUGCCCCCUCCCCACCCAUUUCACCACCACCAUGACACCGGGCAUCCAGUCUCCUUUCUUCCUGCUGCUGCUCCUCACAGUGCUUACAGCUACCACAGCCCCUAAACCCGCAACAGUUGUUACAGGUUCUGGUCAUGCAAGCUCUGCCCCAGGUGGAGAAAAGGAGACUUCGGCUACCCAAAGAAGUUCAGUGCCCAGCUCUACUGAGAAGAAUGCUGUGAGUAUGACCAGCAGCGUACUCUCCAGCCACAGCCCCGGUUCAGGCUCCUCCACCACUCAGGGACAGGAUGUCACUCUGGCCCCGGCCACGGAACCAGCUUCAGGUUCAGCUGCCACCUGGGGACAGGAUGUCACCUCGGUCCCAGUCACCAGGCCAGCCCUGGGCUCCACCACCCCGCCAGCCCACGAUGUCACCUCAGCCCCGGACAACAAGCCAGCCCCAGGCUCCACCGCCCCCCCAGCCCACGAUGUCACCUCGGCCCCGGACACCAGGCCGGCCCCGGGCUCCACC